GUUUUGAANNNNNUUGUUUUCUGAAAAAGGGGCANAAUCCUUAGGUUCUUAAUUGGGAUCUGGAAUGAAAGAAUGUAUAAGGGGGAUCUGUCUAUCAAUAGAGUUUGAAAUUAAAUUUUUAGUAAGAAUGCUAGAAUNCUUCCAGUGGGACGAUAAGACCCUAUAAAGCUUUACUAACCUUUAGUAAAAAUUUUUACUACUUUUAUGCAGAGGNUUAAUUUUUCUGGGGCCGUAAGUAAUCAAAUUAAGUAAGUUUCUUUUCUUAUGGAUCCAUCUUUGGUGAAUUAAGAUUAAGUUACUUUAGGGAUAACAGCAUAAUAUAUCUAUGGAGUUCUAAUCGAAGGAUAUGGUUGUGACCUCGAUGUUGAAUUAACCUUAUUGUAAGGUGAAGAAGCUUUACGAGUUAGUCUGUUCGACUAUUAAAGGGUUACGUGAUUUGAGUUCAAACCGGUUUAAGCCAGGUUGGUUUCUAUCUACUGGAUUUAAAAAAUUUCUUAGUACGAAAGGACCAGAGAUUUUAGAUUUUCUAUUUAAUAUCGUUUUGGCCUCUUUAGGUCUUU
rnacentral:rRNA from 1 species